rnacentral:tRNA from 1 species
UUAACUAAAGCCAAAAGAGAGGCAAUUUAUUGUUAAUAAAAAAAUUGAACCAAAUUCUAGUUAAA